GCCUUCGUGGUGUAGUGGUCAGCACGCUCGGCGCGUAUUCGAGAGGUCCAUGGUUCGAGUCCCGGCUAGGGCA
rnacentral:tRNA from 1 species